rnacentral:rRNA from 1 species
GACGAACGCUGGCGGCGUGCCUAAUACAUGCAAGUAGAACGCUGAAGGAGGAGCUUGCUUCUCUGGAUGAGUUGCGAACGGGUGAGUAACGCGUAGGUAACCUGCCUGGUAGCGGGGGAUGACUAUUGGAAACGAUAGCUAAUACCGCAUAAUAGUAGAUGUUGCAUGACAUUUGCUUAAAAGGUGCAAUUGCAUCACUACCAGAUGGACCUGCGUUGUAUUAGCUAGUUGGUGGGGUAACGGCUCACCAAGGCGACGAUACAUAGCCGACCUGAGAGGGUGAUCGGCCACACUGGGACUGAGACACGGCCCAGACUCCUACGGGAGGCAGCAGUAGGGAAUCUUCGGCAAUGGACGGAAGUCUGACCGAGCAACGCCGCGUGAGUGAAGAAGGUUGUCGGAUCGUAAAGCUCUGUUGUAAGAGAAGAACGAGUGUGAGAGUGGAAAGUUCACACUGUGACGGUAUCUUACCAGAAAGGGACGGCUAACUACGUG